rnacentral:rRNA from 1 species
UACGUAGGGGGCUAGCGUUGUCCGGAAUCAUUGGGCGUAAAGAGCGUGUAGGCGGUCCGGUAAGUCCGCUGUGAAAGUCGGGGGCUCAACCCUCGAAUGCCGGUGGAUACUGUCGGGCUAGAGUGCGGAAGAGGCGAGUGGAAUUCCUGGUGUAGCGGUGAAAUGCGCAGAUAUCAGGAAGAACACCUAUUGCGAAGGCAGCUCGCUGGGACGUAACUGACGCUGAGACGCGAAAGCGUGGGGAGCAAACAGG